rnacentral:lncRNA from 1 species
ACCAACGGAGAGGUGACCAGACAUCAACGAAUGAACUGGGGAAAGAGAUACAACCAUACGUCAACGGACGAAUGGGAAAAACUCGACGUUUAUCGAUACCAACGGAGAGGUGACCAGACAUCAACGGAUGAACGGGAGAAGCUCGACGUUUAUCGACACCAACGGAGAGGUGACCAGACAUCAACGGAUGAACUGGGGAAAGAGAUACAACCAUACGUCAACGGACGAAUGGGAAAAACUCGACGUUUAUCGAUACCAACGGAGAGGUGACCAAAC